UACGUAGGGUGCAAGCGUUGCCCGGAUUUAUUGGGCGUAAAGAGCUCGUAGGCGGUCUGUCGCGUCGGCUGUGAAAACUCGGGGCUCAACUCCGAGCUUGCAGUCGAUACGGGCAGGCUAGAGUUCGGCAGGGGAGACUGGAAUUCCUGGUGUAGCGGUGAAAUGCGCAGAUAUCAGGAGGAACACCGGUGGCGAAGGCGGGUCUCUGGGCCGAUACUGACGCUGAGGAGCGAAAGCGUGGGGAGCGAACAGG
rnacentral:rRNA from 1 species